AGGACUCCGGUCCUCCAGCUUGUGCCCAGCCCAGAUCCUGCCGUGGACAGGGGAAGGGUCCUACGGCUCCCGGGAGGAGCUGCGGCGCCGCGCGCUGGGCGGGGCCGGGCCUCCGGGCAGUUCGCCCGCCCGCCUCGGGGCUGGCACACAGCUGCACCGAGGCCUUGGCCGCUGUCCCUUUUUUCCAAGAAGGGAAAUAUCGCAGCUUUGUCCCGGAGGAGCAGAGCAGAGUGUGGCGCUGCGGGCCUCGUGACUCAUCCCCGGCUCCCACCCCGGCCAGCGUUGGGGGAGUAGCCGCCUCCUCCUGAGCCCCUUUCCCUGGAUGGCUCCUGCUUGCUGCAGGGCUGGGACUGGCCUUGCUCUUCAGUCUCCUGCCUCAGCCCUGCGCCCCCACCAGCGCUGACAGGCCUGCUCCACCGUGCUCGGCUUACCUCCCGAAGCUUGCUUCCAUAAGGGUCACGGUUUGUUUUGCAUCCUCCAAGCCUGAGGAAAUGUUCCUUUAAAUGUUUGCAACAGUAGUAGGUGGUGUGUGUGGCUUUUAAUUCUUAUUUUUCAUGGUUGAAACAGGCUCUCCUGUAGCCCGGGCUGGCCUUCAAGUCCUGACCCUCCUGCCUCAGCCUCCUUGGCGCUGGGACAGUAAAUGUGUGCUGCCACACCCAGUUUCGUGGUGCUGGAAAUGGAGCCAAGGGCUCCGGGCACGCUACACGGCGAGCGCACCAGUAACUGACUACACUACCCGCUGAGCUGCACCGGCUGAACCCCGACUGGGCUGGAAGGUGCGGCUGCGGUCUGUGCGUCAGGCAGCUACGGUCUGUGCGUCACGCGGCUGCGGUCUGUCUCUCUAAAGCGUUACUGUUCCACUCUGUGUGGCUGAGUGCGCCUGCUGCUGCCGUUGGAGGGCAAGAGAGGACGCCAACCUGGAUGUGGGAAGGUUGUGAGCUGCCAUGUGGGCGCUGGGAACCAAAUUUGAGUCCCCUCCAAGAGCAGCCAGCACCCUAAACUGCAGAGCCCUGUCUCUGCAGCCCCCACUCGGCACACGGCAUCCCUCGGGAGGCUGAGAUACAGCUGAAGAUCAACCACAGUAAGACCUUGUAUACAGAUAAAUAAAAUAAACCGAAACCAGCCUUCAAGGGAUCCCAUGAUAUUUAUUUCGUGCCACUAACAUCGUUAAGGGAUACAAGCAAGGCGGUGUGGGGAAGCCCCCCCCCCAGGCUCUGUGAGACACAUGGGGACCCUCUCCGGCUGGCCAGGCCCUUCCUUGUGGGGAGGGGAGCCUGGAGACCCUGGAAAAGGGUU